GUUGUGCUUCCAGGGGAUGCGGAAGACCCUGCGGGCCGGGUCGGUCCAGCAGAGCCCCUGGUACAAGCCGCUGUUGAUGGCGUUCACCAGCCACGGCCCAAAGCGCAGCUUCUGGGCAUCCCUGCGGGGACACGGGGCCGUCAUCGCGGGGGGCGUGGGGCUCGCAGACCCCCCGGCCCGGUGCUGGGCCCCCUGCCCGGCUGCCUCGGUUUGCACGCUAAGGGCAUGAGUGGAGAAAUGGAGCUCCCAGGGUGACGGCUCCCCGCGCAGCCCGAGGACAGUGCGGCCGCACCACCACAAAGCCUCCUGCCACCGCUGCCACCUCGCUUGAUGGAAAUACCAGGGUUUAACACAAAAAAAGAGGGAAAAAAAUAAAUCAGGCCUGAUGCUGUACGUCCCCACGGGGACAUUUCUGAUGCCACCCCAUGAGGGUGCCCACCUGCAGGUGCUGCGGCCCCGCAAGCCCCUGGGAGGGGGACAGAGGCUGGGGGCAAAUUCCCUGUACUGGAAAGGGGAAGCGGCACCCGGCCGGGCUGCAGCUGGUUUCCAGGCAGUUUUUCCUUGCCAAGAUCAGGCAGUAAGCACCAAAAAGAUCCAGAUCCAGCGCCAGGGCAGGGACAAGGUGACACAGGACAAGGAAAUCCAGAGCAAGAGCAGCAUCACGGCACUACACACACCACAGACAUCUAUCAGACUCAGAGAUCAUCUUUGCACAGAUUCCUUCCCAGAUACAAGGAAAAGUCAUAAAAAAGGAAAGUGAUUCACAGAAGCAAAGUGAAAAGUAACAAAUCAGCCACAGAACAACUUUUCCUAAGAGAAAGGGGACACAUCUAGGAAGAAGGCCCUCAACGUACAGGUUUUGAAAAAAAGACUAACCCAAGGACGUUGAAACAGAGGUGGUUUUCUUUCAAACAUUAAAAAUAUGGAUUUUUUUUUGUUAAUUUAAAUAUACAUCUGAAACACAAACGCCAAGCAAGUGCCUGGAGAAAAAAGUGAAAAGAAGGAAUGAAAAGUGGAUUUGACUGGUUUAAUUUAAACAUCGAGGUCGGGUGGAUUGCACCAAAUGGAAUAAAUAAUGGAGAAGAACACGCUGGGUUUGACGGUCUUGCACUUAAGAUAAUUUAAACUAUAAUUAAUAACACAGCCCAAGAGAGUACUUAACAAAGUCCUCUGACAAGUGAUUUUAGCUGGGCAGUAUCCCUUUGACAGCGUGCGUUCUUAAGUGUGGAUUUGCCCCUGCCACCCAACAGCGAUCGCUACCCCAGAAGCGAGCAGGAUGAUGAGAUUUUGUGGUCCACAGGCCUCGAUCCCGUAAUCACACAGGUGCAAACAGCUCCUCGAAGCAAAACUAGACCUUGUGUUUUCACCUGGCGAGGUACAAACAAAUGCACAGCCCUUACAGUGUGGCUCCUGGAGCUUGGGCCCUAUGGAAACAGAAUAGCUUCCUCCUUUCCUGCACCUGGGGCCAGGCCAGAAAAUGUGCACAGCUAACCGUGCACCCGCUGCGGCCACCACUUGAUGCCUUGGGGCGGGGAGGCUGAAGGAAUGUAAGUGGUUUAUUUUUGCUUGGUUGGUUUUCCCUCCCCACAGCCCCUACUUAUAAAAAAAAAAAAAAAUUGAUCCCAAGUUCCUCUCCCUCCCCUGCCUGCAGCCAAGCAGUGAAGCACCUUCAGACAUCCGUAUGAUCCCACGAACAUGUUCCCUACAGAGCAGCCAUCUCAGCUCUGCGUCUCGCUGAUGUGCCUGUGACACCUAGUUGGGAGGGAAGUCCCUUUGCUUUAAAACAAAAAUAAUUACAAAACAGUAGCAACGAGCCCCUUUCCCCUUCUCCGAUCUCCAAAAGAUUCACCCAAGUCUAACUCAAUUUUGAGCAAGGGAGAGGGAAGGGGUGGAGGUUUCCAGGUCAAGGAACUUGCCAGCUCCAGCAUCCCCUCCUGCCACACCUCCAGCAGCGCUGGGCCCCCUGUGCAAAGCACCUGCCCCCCAGGUGGGGCCCAGCACAGCCAAGGAGGGGCUGAGGGGACACAGGACACUGCUGCCCCUCCAGCUCCUCCUCAGCCAGCUGCAACCUCCAGGAAGGAAGAGGGAGCUGAGGUGGAUGAGGGCUCAGGUUAUUAUUUUCCCAUCCCUCUUCCUUCCAAAUGCUGGGAGGAGACUUAGGGGUCUGCAGGCCCAGUCUGUGCUUACCAGUGUCCUUAAGAAUGACAAUUAAAAACAAACAACAAAAAAAAA